rnacentral:misc_RNA from 1 species
GAUGAAGAACGUAGCGAAAUGCGAUAAGUAAUGUGAAUUGCAGAAUUCAGUGAAUCAUCGAAUCUUUGAACGCACAUUGCGCCCCCUGGUAUUCCGGGGGGCAUGCCUGUCCGAGCGUCAUUACAACCCUCAAGCUCAGCUUGGUGUUGGGCCCCGCCGCCCCGGCGGGCCCUAAAGUCAGUGGCGGUGCCGUCCGGCUCCGAGCGUAGUGAUUCUUCUCGCUCUGGAGGUCCGGUCGUGUGCUCGCCAGCAACCCCCAAUUUUUUUCAGGUUGACCUCGGAUCAGGUAGGGAUACCCGCUGAACUUAAGCAUAUCAAUAAGCGGAGGA